AGCCUACAGCGAAUAGUAGGCCAUCACUCUCAUUAGUCGUUCUUAAAUCCCCUCUUAUUCUUUCGAUAACCCAUUCAUAGACGCCAUAUAUCUCAUAUCCUUUCCAUAGCGAUAAACCAACUCGGCUGAUAUUUAAAUCGAUCUCAAGAAAGUAUGUAAAUAAAGUAAACAAUGUAAAGUAGUGCAAUGUAA
rnacentral:misc_RNA from 1 species